rfam:Anolis carolinensis chromosome 3 cont2.17090, whole genome shotgun sequence.
ACAGCUUUGGACAAAAGUCUAUAGCCAGAGCAUUCAGUAAUUCCCCAUGCACAAGAGCUGACUGUGUCUCUGGGAAGACAUUUUACUGGUCUGCUUUCUUAUUUCCUAGUUUUCUAGUUCUUCUCUCAGGUGUUUGAUACUUAUUUGUCUCUCACCUGCCUGGGGCACUGCUUGAGAAUAUUCUGCACCAUGUCAGCUGAUGUAGGUCUCAUAAAGAGUAAAGACAGCUCU